rnacentral:lncRNA from 1 species
AUUUACAGCCACUCUGAUAGGCCGUGGCUGGUCAGACUCACUACUGCAAGGAUCGGACCAGCAUACAGAACCUCCAAAUGCUUCAAUUAAAGUCAAGAUAUCAGGACCAGAUCCAGGUUAUGGGGCAACAUCACUCAUGAUGGUUGCAAGUGCCAUGACCAUUUUGCGGGAAAAACACUCCAUUCCGGGAAAAGGUGGAGUCUUGACACCAGGAGUUGCCUUCAUGGAUACGGAUCUUAUCAAGCGCAUGGUAGAUCAAGGCAUGACUGUUGAGGUCGUUGAGUGAGUCCAGAGGAUGGAAAAGAAAAAUUCUAUACAUUGGGUUUCUUUUUUGUUUUUUUUUUUUUUUUUUGUACAUUGCAAGGCUAGUUUUUUGUAAAUUCUGUAACUUUCAGGGAAGUAUAUUACUUUGUUGAUUCUAUAAGAUAAAGCUUUCUAUUUGUAUUUAAAGGAGAACUUUUAACCUUGCAUUACCUCUACCAGGAACUCUUUUGAAAGUUAUAAACUAAAAGUGCCAUAAUUAUGCAUUAUAUGGUCCCUUGGACACUCUGGCAUGAUCUUAAAUGGCAUUUCAUUCUACUACAAGAUUUGAAGAGAUAUAAGUCCAGAUAGAUUCCAAUACAUAUAAUAUUUUGUUAUCAUUAUUUCAUUGCCAAGACUUGUUUAACUUCAGUUUGUUAUUCCUUUUUAUUUUGGUAUUUACAGUGGCUGUCAAUCUUUUCUCACCUGGAGAUUUUAUCUAUUUUUUGUGUGUUCCACAAGCUUUGAUAGAGUAUACAGUAAACACAGUAACGGAUGGAGAUGUGAAGAAUAUGGAAAGGUGGAAAUGAUUCAAGGUUUUGGAAGUGGGAAAAGAGACACUGUGUUGGUAAAUGAAGAGGGGCCUGUUUCAUCACAUAUGGUUAUUGAAAAUCAGAUCUAUAACAUAUGUAUAUGUUUUUAU